GCGGACGUGGUGGAAUUGGUAGACACGCUAGCUUGAGGUGCUAGUGACAGCAAUGUCAUGACGGUUCAAGUCCGUCCGCCCGCA
rnacentral:tRNA from 1 species